UCCGUCUCAUAAAAAGUCGUUUUCCCUCUCUUGCUCUCUUUUUCUCUCCUUCCCUCUUCUCUCUCUUUAAACCCUAAAAAUGUCUCUUCUUCUUCUCUUUCAGUUAGGGCACAAACGAAAACACACUGCUUCUAGGUAUUUCUCAGCACGCGUCGUAGUCACAACAACAUCCACCAUGAAUCCUAAUAGGUUAACUUUGAUGCAAAGACUGAGUAUGAUAAGAUCUAGAAUUACUAAGCCCUACAAGAGGUUUUCAACAAGCUGAUAAUAUGGCCAACAGGUGUGUGUUAUGGUAUGUUUUCUUGAAUCCUGUAGUUGUUGUUGUUCUGUUGUUGUUGUUGCUGCAGGAAAAGUACCCUUUAUUAACCAUAACAACAUCCAAAAAAACCUGGAAAUUGGUUUGGUGUUCGAUUUGAAUCUGAAGUAAAGAUCGAUUCGUGACUUCGGCAUAAGGAGAGUCUGAGAGAGGGUGGUUCCGAACAUCAUUUCUUUUGUUAAGUUUUGUUUAAAUCACGGUAAGUUUCAUUUAGUUUGAUCUCAAACCUGACUUGAUCUACAUUUGUUAUGAAUUUGAAUUUACAUUAGUUUGAUCUCAAAGCUGUUUAAAUUCGAUAUGAUACUAAAGAUUUGGAUUUAUUUUUUCUUCUUUUAGGAUAAUGAAAAACAAGUCAGGGAAGAAUUUGAUAUGAUACGAAAUAUUCUCUUAGCUACUGCUUUUUAUUAAACAGCUAAAACAUUUGCUUAUCCUUAUUUACUUCAUAUAUUUUUCGAUUUUAGAGUUGUUUGUUUCCUCUUCUUAUUUCCAAGAGAGUCCAAUGCCAGAUCCAUCUGAAUUAUUUUCUAAUGUACAUGUUAAAGGAUACAUAGUUGAGUUAUAGAUUCCAUCCAUAUUCACUAUCCGUUGAUUAAAAUUAAACUAUAAGAAUAGGAAAUUUAUAGAUACGGAGUGAGAGUUAAGUUGUCAUAAAUAGGAAAUUUAAUAGUCCCCAAAUUGGUGAAAAUAAAGAAGAGUAAAAGAUUUUUCUACAGAACUAAUCUUUGAGCCCUUGGGUUGAGUUUCCCCGCGUAUAUAGUCAAUUUAUACUCUUGAGCGGCAAUGAGAGUUGAUUGAAUACUUUUUGACAUGUAUUUUUUGUUGGAGAGCAUAUGUAUGUAGAUUGACAAAAGCCUUCAUUUCUGGUGCAAAUGACUUCAUUUCUUCUUUCCUGACUUGAUCUACAUUUGUUAUUUGAUCACAAACCUGCCAAUUGUUUUAUAACUACAGCAUGUUUGGAUGGAACAUUGCCCAGUAACCACUUGGACCGCGGAUUUGAAUCUGGUGCAAAUAGUUGGCUUAUUCAUCUUGAGGUAUGUAAAAUAAUAUCCAGACUUUAAUAUCAAUACUUGCUUUAACUCUCCCAUCUUUGAGGCUGCAACUUAUGUAUACUCAAGUAUUUGUUUUAAUUGUCCACUUUAUUUAAUUUUUUUAAACUGGAAUAGAGUCAAUUUAAGGUACUGUGACGGAGCAUAUUUUACGGGAGAUAGUGAAAAUGAGGCCAGUGAAGAAAAACUUAUCUUAAUAAGCAUUCCUAUGGAAACUGUCAAUGAAAGAUUUGAUUUUGCAAUCCAUUAUUGUGUGACCGUAUUGGGAUUUGAUUCUUUUUACAGGUUGUGCUCUGUCAACACUUCAAACGGCUUUAUUAGUAGAGAAGUCCAGACAUAAGCCACAAGAGAGGAUGAUAAUUUUAUCAGAUAUAAGUUGAUUUUCCAAGUUUUGAUUGAUAUUGCUAUGUCAUCCAUAUGUCGCGGCUAAAGGGUUCUUUUUGUUGCAGGCACUUAAAACCAGUAACUAUGAUGCUGAACAUUUUGUAUGUUUAGAGUAAUGUACCAAUCAAGGAUGGUAAAGUGACAUUUUGUAUAUUUAGAGUCAUGUACCAACCAAGUUCAUCUUCUGACUUUUCUCUGGUAUUUAUGCUUCGAAAUCAUUUUUCAUAUAACCAAAUAUGAGUAUUCAUAGGAUCUUUCAAUUAUAUUGCUGAAUGACAUGUUUAUUGUUGACUGACAUGGUUCAAUUAUAUUUGGUUAUUUGGUCAUGUACAACACUUAAAUUGGUGCUUCAAUGGACUGUGUUAGUUGUGAAUACAUGUUCCAAAGUUUUCCUCUAGAACUAAAAGUUGACUCCAAACACUGAUGCACAAGUUUUGGUUCAAUGUUUGGAAAAGAAAUAAAUGAAAUUAGAAGACCUUUAUUUUUUCAGUCUAAAUUAAAUCGCUGACCAAUUUAUUACUCUUAUAUGUAAUUCAUUGCACUCUUAUAUGUUAAACAAUAUAAUAUUUAUUAACCUUUAUUGAAAAUCAAUUAGCAAUUAUCUCAUUUAUUACCAUCAAUUUAUUUUUGUAGAAACAUGAGUCAUUUGAAAAACAUUUUUAUCCACAAAAGGCAAUAAGCUUUUUUGGACCUGUUAGUUUGUAAAUGGGUGCUAUUCACAAAAGGCAUUGAUCCAAUUAUCUCAUUUACUACUCUUAUAUAGAAUUAUGCAGGUGCUGGAUCUGUUAGUUUAGUUUGUAAAGGGGUGCUGUUCAGAUUAGACACAAAAGACAAUAUAUUUGUAAAACAAGAGUUGAGGCACCUGUUUGUACAAUUUAAACACAAAAGACAAUAAACUUUUUUUAUCUCAUGAUAAAUAAGGAUUAUUUAAAUAAUUAAGGAUAUUAAUUUAUCAAAUACAAAAGCUGAAUGAUUGAAUAAGCAAUUGAUUACAUAACUUUAUAUAAAUUUAAUAAAUUUAAUGUGUUAUAAAUCACCAUAAACAUUAUAACCCCUAAUUCAAUGUCAUCAUCAAAUAUUUUAGUUAUUUGAGAAAGUAUUAUAUUCUAAUAAAUUCAAAGUUUGAUUGCAUUUUUUAGUUAUUUGAGAAAUUGGAGUGAAUGCUUUUGGGUUGUAUUUUUUAUUUUUUAUGUAUUUAUUAAGCAUUAAUUUAAAAUAUAUUUAUUUAUUUAUUAUCAAAUUAUACCAAGUAAUUUAGUUAUGUAAACGUGUUUUUUUAAACGAGUUCUUCUUUAUAAUGUCAACUAACUAUUAUUGAGACUUGGCAAAUGGUUUUUUUUUUAAAUGUGAUCGUAUGGAGAUGGUGUUCAACAUUAUUUUAAUGAUUUAAACCAGUGUUUUAAAAACCGGACCGGUCAUCGAACCGGUGAGAGUACUGGGUCACUGAUUUAUCGGUCGAACCACUGGGACACUGGUCGAACCGCACGACCAAACCGAAUUAAACCGGAUAACUCGGUUGAAUAGAACUGUUAUUAUAUAGGUAUAAAACCGGUCGAACCGGAUGAUUCAAUCUCUAAAAAAUUAUAACUAGCUUUUAAAUUUUUUAAAAAUAUCAUAUCAUAAAUUCACAAUUUCAUAACUUAAAUUCAAAUUUUAAA